AGGGAGGGGGGGGGCUACGGCUGCUAGACUGCAAGUCGUACGCGAAAGCCCCCUUCGGGGGGCAAGUAGAGUGCCCCUUUGGUGAGUAACACGUAGGUAAUCUACCUUUGGAUGGGGAAUAACCACCGGAAACGGUGGCUAAUACCGCAUAAUGCAGCGGCACCUAAUGGUGACAGUUGUUAAAGCGGGGGAUCGUAAGACCUCGCGUCUGAAGAGGAGCCUGCGGCAGAUUAGCUAGUUGGUAAGGUAACGGCUCACCAAGGCGAUGAUCUGUAGCCGGCCUGAGAGGGCGGUCGGCCACACUGACACUGACAUACGGGUCAGACUCCUACGGGAGGCAGCAGUCGGGAAUUUUGGGCAAUGGGCGAAAGCCUGACCCAGCAACGCCGCGUGAAGGAUGAAAUCCCUCGGGAUGUAAACUUCGCAAGAACAGGAAGAAUAAGUAAGGGUUAACAUCUCUUACGAUGACGGUACUGUUUGUAAGCUCCGGCUAACUCCGUGCCAGCAGCCGCGGUAAUACGGGGGGAGCAAGCGUUGUUCGGAUUUACUGGGCGUAAAGGGCGCGUAGGCGGCCACCGCAAGUCGACUGUGAAAUCUCCGGGCUUAACUCGGAAAGGUCAGCCGAUACUGCGGGGCUAGAGUGCAGAAGGGGCAACUGGAAUUCUCGGUGUAGCGGUGAAAUGCGUAGAUAUCGAGAGGAACACCUGCGGCGAAAGCGGGUUGCUGGGCUGACACUGACGCUGAGGCGCGAAAGCUAGGGGAGCGAACGGGAUUAGAUACCUCGGUAGUCCUAGCCUUAAACGAUGAAUGCUUUGGUGUCUGGGGUUUUAUAGUCCCCGGGGGGCCGUCGCUAGCGCUUUUAAGCAUUCCGCCCUGGGGGAGUACGGGCGCCAAAACUUGAAACUCCAAAGGAAUUGGACGGGG
rnacentral:rRNA from 1 species